AAUAAUUCAUGGCCAGAAAGUGGGGAAUUAAUCGCAAAAGACUUAUGAAAAAUUAAGUCCAGUAUGAAAAAAAUCCUCAACCUGUACUACAAAUUGAUAAUUUUGUGAUAAGGAGCGGAGAAAAAGUUGGAAUUGUUGGCAGAACAGGGGCUGGGAAGUCGUCCCUCUUAAUGGCAAUAUUUCGAAUGAUAGAAGCAACAAAGGGAAAUAUAACUCUGUCUGGAGUUGACAUUGCAAAAAUUCCGGUGAAUUAUUUGCGAUCUAAGAUGGCCAUGGUGCCUCAAGAGCCUACGUUUUUUUCUGGCACUCUCCGGUUUAAUUUGGAUCCGUUAGAUUGUUAUACCGACAGUGAAAUAUGGGCCUAUAUUUUCAAGUAACUCCGGACGAUGCAAAGCUAACGUCUGGUUAUAAACAAUUAUUUUGUUUAUCGCGUGCAAUUCUAAGGAGGCCAAAAUUUUUAGUACUUGACGAGGUUACGGCGCAUUGCGAUAAAAAUAUUGAGCAUGUCAUUCAAAACGUUGUGAAAGAGGAAUUUAGGGAAUGUACCGUUCUAAUUGUGGCACACCGCAUCAAAACUUUGCUUG